GUUCAGAGCCUGUGUGAGCCAAUCACCUCCUAAGGUGCCGUCUCCAAGUCCUGUUGCACAAGGGACCAUGCCUGGAACACAGGAGUCUUUGGGGAACAUUGAGACCCAAACUAUAACUGGUUUGGGUCUCAUAUAGCUGGUUAACGACAGUCAGCCUUUUGGUUGUAAACUACCCCUGCAAGCCAUAAAACCAUGACUCAGAGGAUGCCCAGCUGUGGCAGAACCAGGCCCAGAGGCUGGUGUCUUCCAGGGACUCUCACCAGAGUUGCAGGGGUGCCUGGAUUCUGCAGUGCUGCAUGAUCAUCUGAGCUCAGGUGGAUGGAGCACAUCUACCCUAAGAAGUCUUCCUGGAGCAAGGCCAGCACCCUGCCAGGCAACGGACAGCCAGCCUCUAGACUUUCUGGGGCAAAGGCCUGCAUUUAUGUGCAUGUUCUCUACCUUGUCAUCUUGCCUGCAAUCUGACUUGUUCCCUGCAGGGCAACAGGCAUUUGCAAGACCAACAAGGGCAAAAAGCAGCAGGGAUGGCGCUGUGGAGUCUGGUGCCCAUGCAGCCUCCAGCAGCUGCCUGAGCUGUGGGCUGCCUCCGGGGGUUGGAAAUGAAAUCCCUUUCAGUGUAACCCUUGGGAGGCUUUGAAAUCAGAAUGCUUUCUGCUGUUUGGAGCCAGAAUCACACUUUGCUUUCUUUUGAGUUGGGAUUGAAAUUGUGGCUCUCACAGGGGAGCUGAGGUGAAUAGUGUAGAAUGUGAAGUGUGACUAAAAACUACAGAGAACAUUUAAAUUACAGCAUCAUAGCUGAGAGCACUCCACUGUGAAUCUCCCUUAAGUCCUCCCCUGGCUUGGA